rnacentral:rRNA from 1 species
UACGUAGGGGGCAAGCGUUGUCCGGAAUGAUUGGGCGUAAAGGGCGCGUAGGCGGCCAGUUAAGUCUGAAGUGAAAGUCCUGUUUUUAAGAUGGAAAUUGCUUUGGAUACUGACAGGCUUGAGUGCAGGAGAGGUAAGUGGAAUUCCCAGUGUAGCGGUGAAAUGCGUAGAGAUUGGGAGGAACACCAGUGGCGAAGGCGACUUACUGGACUGUAACUGACGCUGAGGCGCGAAAGUGUGGGGAGCAAAC